GAUGAACGCUGGCGGCGUGCUUAACACAUGCAAGUCGAACGAAGCAUUUAGAACGGAUUACUUCGGUUUGAAGUUCUUUAUGACUGAGUGGCGGACGGGUGAGUAACGCGUGGGUAACCUGCCUUGUACUGGGGGAUAGCAGCUGGAAACGGCUGGUAAUACCGCAUAAGCGCACAAUGUUGCAUGACAUGGUGUGAAAAACUCCGGUGGUAUAAGAUGGACCCGCGUCUGAUUAGCUAGUUGGUGAGAUAACAGCCCACCAAGGCGACGAUCAGUAGCAGACCUGAGAGGGUGACCGGCCACAUUGGGACUGAGACACGGCCCAGACUCCUACGGGAGGCAGCAGUGGGGAAUAUUGCACAAUGGAGGAAACUCUGAUGCAGCGACGCCGCGUGAGUGAAGAAGUAAUUCGUUAUGUAAAGCUCUAUCAGCAGGGAAGAUAGUGACGGUACCUAACCAGAAAGCCACGGCUAACUACGUGCCAGCCGCCGCCGUAA
rnacentral:rRNA from 1 species